GACGAACGCUGGCGGCGUGCUUAACACAUGCAAGUCGAACGAAGUGGCGAACGGGUGAGUAAUACGUGGGUAACCUGCCCUACUUUUUGGGAUAAGCCUUGGAAACGGGGUCUAAUACCGAAUAAAGGGGGAUGGGCUCGCGGCCUAUCAGCUUGUUGGUGGGGUGAUGGCCUACCAAGGCGGUGACGGGUAGCCGGACUGAGAGGGUGAACGGCGACAUUGGGACUGAGAUACGGCCUAGAGUAGUACGGGGGGGAGAAGUGGGGGAUAUUGCACAAAGGGCGAAAGCCUGAUGCAGCGACGCCGCGUGGGGGAUGAAGGCUUUCGGGUUGUAAACCUCUUUCGCUAUCGAAGGGGUAGGUGGAGAAGAAGCGCCGGCUAACUACGUGCCAGCAGCCGCGGUAAUUC
rnacentral:rRNA from 1 species